AUGGCGGACGGGCGCGCGAGGCAGAGGGAUCCGAUGCGGCGGUUCGAAGUCCUUGCAGGCAAGGGCGGACCUCCAUGGCUGGCAGGGGGGCUCCAAGGCCAUGGCGGGGCUUCGGUUUUCCCUGGUAUAGAAAAGAGAAACAGAAGAGGAUUCAGGGAAAAGAAGAACGGGGAUUCAGGGAGAAGAAGAACGGUGGAAGAAGGAUGGCUGGCCUCCUCGGCGCAUGCCAUACGAUCUAAAGGUUCAUAUCAGACAAGGCAACCACAACAGUACAACCAUGAUAAUCUCAUGGGUGACAACAGUCAGAACCUGGAUCGAGCACUGUGUUUUACGGGACUUCAGAAGAUAAUCUCAAUUGUUCUGCAAAGGGAAAGCAUUCGCGUUUGA
rnacentral:rRNA from 1 species